GUGACUUAAACCUUUAAUUUCUUACAAAAUCCAUAAAUAAAGCAUUUGCAGGUGGCAUCGGAAGCGUGUGCAUGAUAUCUAUCACACAAACAGGCAUACAAUUCACUGUAAAGAUACUAAACAGAGUCCCUCACUUCUGUUUGAAAAUGCAGUGUAGGUAAGUAUGUGCCAUCCUUUUUGGUUCUUGGACUGAAACUAGAUAAGAUGGAUGCGGAUAGAAGAAGCACAUCAUGUUCAGUUUGCUGUAUGUCGCACAGAUUAACACCAAGCAUAACCCACUGUUACCUGUACAGGUAAACUAACAUUAACCAAAGACAUCUGCCCACUGUGUGCACAACCAUCAUUAUUGGAGAUAUGUCUGUAUGAUUCAGGGUGUCUCCCAUUUAGAAAAGCCAAAAGCUUGAUUCCAAAGACGGAUAAUAUCAAAAGCUAUUUCCCCAAAUGAUAAAACAAGCCAAGCUGAUACAAUACUUUAACCCAUGAAUUUGCUUACAGUAAACAAUUGCAAAAUUAAUACAUAUCAAAAAGGCAAAAUAAAAGAAAAAGCAAUCACCUUUGGAACAUUGUAUGUAUGUUGAAUGUAUACAUGCAAUGUUCAUGCAUACAUGUUGCAAACUGAUUUAAUUUCUCUUGGUGAUCUGAUUGCACAUGAUUAAACAGUUCAAGGAUUAGCACGAUAACGUUGACGUGGGCUUAUUCAAACAGGUAAUUUAAACUGUUGAAUCCAACCAAAAGGCAUUGCGCAACGCUUACAUGCACUGAUUUUGUAAAUGGGCACUAGUUAUCAGACUAGAGUGGUCGCAGCAGAAUGUAUCUAUCUAUUUUCAAACCGAAUUAUCGGAUUUUUGACUGAGUUUAGAGUGCCCGGGUUGAGGCAUUUAAUGCAGGUCUGUCUUUAGUACACACACACACACACACACACACACACACACACACACACACACACACACACACACACACACACACACACACACACACACACACACACACACACACACACACACCACCUCCUACGACUCAUCCACCCAAUCAUAACGCUGCUCCUUGGUCAACCACUCAAUAAAGAGACAGAAAAAAAAAAAAAGGAAGAAAAAACGAUUAUAAAACAAGUUUGCAUCACAACUUCCAACUGACAAAGACAACUCUGCAUUUCCUCCCACAUGGACGGCAUGUAGCCCAACGAACCAGGCGGGCGGUGUCUUGAAGGCCCCCCAGGCGUGGAAGCAGCGCGUGAAGCAGUGAGGCUCGUUGCCCUUCCGGACCAGGCGCAGCUUGCGGGGGUGCUCCGUCUCCUUGGCACGCAUGUGCUGGAUGUACACCUGCACAGCAGAGACGCAUUGGG
ensembl:lncRNA